CUGAGACUGCAGCAGCCGAGCGAGCGCGGAGCGAUGGGCUGGUGGAAGCCAGAGCGCAGCGCGAGGAGCGGCGGCGGUGCGAGGGCUACAUCUGAGCCAUGAAGCUGACCAACUUCAAGAAACCACUGAAUUUACAAGUCAUCUAGGAGCUCAGUGAGGAACCCUCUCAAACACUGCCAACACCAUAAGCUGGUACACUGAACUUUGUCCAUCUACACGGAAGACUGAAUUUCCUAUAGCCCUCAUACACUGGCUAUUUUUUCUCUUGUAUCCAUCCCGUGUACCGCUUGGAUGUUGUGGAUGUUGGAGGAAAAGUGGAUAGGUCUCUUACCUGUUGCCCGUUGUGGCAUUCAGACCAUUGUCCUUUCCUCCUACCUCAUUAUCUCAUCUUUUUUGAAGUUAAUUUCUUGAGUACAUCACCUCUUAUCCCUUCUUCUUGUUCCCAUUUUCUAUCUUUUUACUCUUUUAUUCUGGUACUUCAGUUCCCAUAAUUCCACAAAUAUGUGAGGCCCUAUUAACCAUGAGUAUCAUUGCCCAUGCUCUUGUCUUUUUUUAUCUAAUCUAGAUUCCAAUCACCAUAAUCAUUCCCUGAAGAGACCCAUUCUCCCUUACUCCUCUCUUACUUUGUCAAACUAAUUUAGGAAAACACCAUUACUGUUUGAAGCUGAAUGUGGCAACUUGGAAAGCAGUAGCAUGUGGCUAGAAACAGGCAAUAUUUUACCUUAGCACUGCAGAGAAUUCCUGCCACACUUCUAGGGGCAGUUUUCUCCCUCUCUCUCUGCUAGAUGGUUAUUUCAUACCUUUACUUUCUCAUCAAGCAUCCACAACUUCUCCUUGCCUCACUCUGCUGAUAAUUUUGCUUCUUGUUCUCCAGGGAAAUAAGAAGCAAAAUGGAUGAGAGAGAGUUUUCAUAUGCUCCCACUACCAAAUCUAAAAUCCUGUGUAAUCUUCAUGUUACCAUGCUAUAAGGAUCAUUUAAUAUUCAGUCUUCAUUUAAGUCCUUAACAGUGUUUGAAAUAGUUGUUCAUUCUCACCUCUCUGAAAUACUAUCCUCACUUAACCUUCUGGACACCCCACUUUGUCUAAUUAUCCUGCUUCUCUAGUCAUUUUUUCUUUGUCACCUUUGCUGGCUUCUUCUCAUCUCCCCUACUUCUAGCCUUCAGAGUAAAUAAGACUCCAUCCUCAGGAUGGAUUCCUUCACUCUCUAUGCUCACUCCUUAAGUGGCCUCAUCCAUUUAUGGCUUUAAAUACCAUCUAUACACUAAUACUUCAGUCUAUAGCUCUAUUUUAAAACUAUUCCUGAAUUACAGACUCAUAUAUUUAAGUACUUACAUGACAUUUCCAGUUGGAGGUUGUAUUAGUUUGUUCUCACAUGGCUAUAAACAACCACUUGGGACUGACUAAUUUGUAAAGAAAAGAAGUUUAAUUGACUCACAGUUCUGCAGUCUUAACCAGAAGCAUGAUUGGGAAGCCUCAGAAAACUUAGGACAACGUGGUGAAAGGCAAGCAUGCACAUCUUAUCAUGGCGCAGCAGGAGAGAGAGGGGAGAAGAGGUGCCAAACACUUUUGAAGAAUCAGAUUUUGUGAAAACUCACUCACUAUCAGAUCCCCCAAGAUCUGAUCACCUAUGAGCAGGCCCCUCCUCUAAUUUAACAUGAAAUUUGGGCGGGGACACUGAUCCAAACCAUAUUGGAGGUCUAAUAAGUAUAACUAAUUUAUCAUGUUCAA